UUGUCACAGACCUGCACCCGCCUCCUCGCAGUUGGCGCUUAUCUAGCCACAGGGGAGUUGGCCCGGCCAAAGUAAACCUGGACAAUGACGGCAUGCCAGGAGCUGAAGGCAGCAAGGCCCCCAGCGACAGCUAAAAGCGCAACCAGGUAACAGGGACACAAGUUUCCGAUACGACGAAAGCAAACGCAGCGGACAAGAGCCAGCUAAAUUGGUAAAUCAAUAGCUCAAAACUUGUCGUCCAUCUCCUUAGAGGGGCUUCCUUAAACUUCGACUAACAAGUUAUCUAUAUUACUACUAGAUUUUUUUGUUAGUACAGAGUUGCAAAUCAACAAUAUCAUUCCUAUCCAAUGUGCCCAAUCACACAUCGGGUACAGCAAUCAUUAAUUAAUAUCCUUUCAGAUCCUUUGAAUGCCUCUCCUGGACAGAUAGCGAAUGGCAUCACCUCCCUUUCACUUAUCCGUGUGAUGACUCUCUAUCCGCUCGCACGAUGAUAGUGCUGCUUUGGCCUAAAAAUGCACAACUUAACUUUUUGACAAAAUGCCCCCAUCCCCGCCAUGGGCAAAAAAAGUUCUCCUGCCCCCGAGGUCUGGCUCAGAUCCAUCCAUCCCAUGGCCCGCCAUUCCAGCCACCACAUCGUGAUGACUUUCAGGCUUUCAUUAUUCAUUAUCUAUGCCUAGAGCAAAUCUGGGGAUCAAGGUUUUCGGUUGGCGUUUGGAUUUUGCGUUGCCUUGGUUUUAAUUAAUGAAGCUACAAUAUGACAACAAAGCUUAACUAAUUAAUUUGUUGUCUGGGCUGCUGGUAUCAUCAAAAUUUAUAAGAAUACAAGAAUUCUUUUCUCCAAAAAACAGAAAUGCCAAAAAAUCCACCCCCGACAUUCAAGUUAUGGAAGACAAACUGGGCCAUAAAUUUCCAAAAAAUUCGAGUUUUUCAUCUGCAGUUUUCCGACACAGACGAGUCAAGAGGGCAGGAGAGCGUAAGUCAAGAUGCGUUUGCUAAUGUUGUGAAAGAAUCGAGAACAAACAGAGUAAAAAUACCGAAAAUAUGCAAAUCAACUUACUCCGAUGGCUGGCAAGGAACAAAAAGCAUGAAUGUGGGCAUGCGAUACAUUUCGAUAUGGAUUGAUGUAAAAUUGAUGCGACGCAGAGUGGGUUAUUGUCUGGCCCGCAUAAACAAAACACAACAAAACAAGUAUAAAGUAAAAACAAAACACAGCACCAGAGAAAAAAAGCAUCAAGAAAUUUCAAUAAUGCUAAAGCAUUUGUUCCCAACUUGUAGGAUGGAAGGGCGAAAAAAUAUGAGGAAGCAGACAAAGCCGGUAGAGCACUUCAGGCAAUUUAUGGCAUAUGUUACCUAACACACACACCCAUACAUCCACUCGAAGGACACCCCUUCGCCCGCAUACACACUCAUAUGUAAAUGUUAAAAUAAUACAUAUGCGUAUGGCAUAAAAAUUGAUAUGCCAACAUUUCUUUCAUGUGUGAGUAAUUCACAAGUAAAAUGCAGAAAGUUUUUAAAUAAAAUAUAACUCGAGUGCUAAGAAUACGGGCGGAAAGUCAGGAAUUUGUUGACUCCCAGCUUACCCUGUAAAGUGAUUGAUCUUUGGAUAAAAGAAAUAAUAAAUAAACCCAUAUUUCAGCGUUAAAAUUUCUUCAAUUAGAAAUGAAAUUCCUCUCGCCCUCUCAUGGCUG